rnacentral:lncRNA from 1 species
GGAUAUUUACUUGCUCGGAGGAACCAUCACUAAUCCAGAUGGAGUGGUAUCAUCAACAAAUGAAAUUCACAAAUUAAGCAUCGGUAAGAUGAGAAGCAAAACUGAGACUGAUGUUCUGCUGCCAAGAGCCUCCUGUUUUCUCAUAGUAGUUUGCAGUGAAGGAACAGAUACUAACACUGUUACACUCUUCCUGUUUUACCAGCAAAGAUGAAAUGGAAAGUACCGCUGUAUGUCGGCAUCCCUCCCUCCAGACGUCACAGACACACGGCUUUCAUCGUCCACAGUCAUAUUUAUGUGUUUGGAGGCAAAAAUGAAGAACAAGAUUUUAAUGACUUGAAAAUAAUGAAGUUAAUAAACCCCUCAGAGAGACAGCCAGGUAAGUAACG